AGCUGAGGGGUCUUCUGACACCGGGGAGGGCAGUCCAGCUGCGGGCAGCACAGAGAACAGCGCGCUGAGGACCACAGCAGGCGAUUCGUGCUCACUAAGAGAGGCUGACCAAGAACUGCAUAUGAAGAAGUCUGUAAAUGGAAAGGAUUCAUCAGGAAGUUGACUGAUAGCAGUCAAAUUGUAUGCAUCAGUGCUUUUCCUUCUCUUUUAUCCAGCAAAAUUUUAAGUGCAAAGUUGGAUCACAACCUGGAAGAAUUCAGGGCUGCACAGGCCAUUUGCAGGGCAAAGUCAGUGCCCAGCACAGCAGAGAAAAUCUUUCUGGUGAGCUGCGCCUGAACAUGUGUGAAGUGGAGGUAACAGCCUGGCACAGCACAGCCACCAAGGAGGGAGACUGAGAAGAAAGGAGAGACCGAGAAGAAAAGAGAGACCAGGAGUACAAAUUCACCUAAAAGAAGACCUCCACAUGAAAGAUAGUGAAUUUUUCUAUUAAAUCUGACAUCAUUUCCUUGUAUGUCUGAUUUAUUUGGGAAAGUGAAAAUUCAUAUCAUAAAAAUGGCAAAAUUUCUCCAAGUCCCCAAACCACCAUAAUGGCGCCCAUUUCAUCAAGCCAAGCAGGAGUAUCCUGGGACUCUCUAAGGAGGAGACACACUGGUAGCAAUCAGAAUAUUGGCAAAGCAUAAGCUUAAGGCAGGAGAAGAGUCAGUAUCCUGCCUCUAUGUGAUUCAGAGCACAGAAAUUGUUGCUCACAACCAUGACCUUGGGUCACUGACUCAGAGUUUAACCCGGAAAGGGGAAACCACAUCAAUUGUAUAGCUAGGUAGAUAGAUAUCUCAGAGAUAAUUUAAUCAGGGAAACCAUUGCACAGGUGAGGGAGGAGCCAGGGGGCCAAACAAAGAAUGACGGGGACCCAGAUAUUAGCAUCAGCAGGAUGUCACUGCACUCAGGCCAGUGGGUACAGGGUAUGGGGGGAUCGAACUGGGCUGAUGGCAUCCUGGAGAUGCUGGCAUUACCACACAGCUGCUGAGACUGGAGGCAGAUAGAGAAAGAAGACAAAGUUGGCUUAUCCCUUCCCUCCACCCUCCAGUCUCCCCUCAGUGCCCGGUGGACACACACCCAGCCAGUAACCGGGGAAGUCAGCUUAGAGGCAUCAGGCCUGCAGCUCACAGCAGAGGAAUGGACUGGAGGGCCAGAAGUCAUAAACAGGGAUUACAAUUGUCUAUCCCAUUUUAGAUCAUAAUCAUGGUUUUUUGCUUAAAUAGACCUAAAGUGGAAAGUUUCAAUAACUUGGAAAACAGAGAAAAAUAUAAAUAGCAGAGCAGUUUGAGGCAAUUGAGUAGAACAGUGUAAACCCUGUAAAGCUCUAGAGGUUUUGAGAGUGUCAUUAUAUCACAGUGAAAUGCAAUAAAACAUCUCAAUUUCACUGGAUGGUAAAGAAAAUCAUUUGGAUGCUGUAUAUUCUGUUUGGAAUGGAAAAAAUAUAAAGUAUAAUUUUUAAAAGCUUCUCAGUAUUUAAAGUAUUUAAGGGAUGACAAAGAUUCUUGUUAUGGACAAAAUAAUUUUGUCCCACUCCCCCCCAAAUUCGUACAUUGAAC
ensembl:lncRNA